rnacentral:lncRNA from 1 species
UUUUAAGUAUGUUAACCCCUUCCUAUAUCUGCUUGCUUUGGCCUGAUAGUCAUAUAGGCUCAAACACAUCAUUAAAAUAAAGAUUGUAUUUUUUUUAUUACUUCCCUUACUCAUAGUGUAUGAUUUUGAUGUCUUUUUUUUUUCUUUUUUAACAUCUUCAUGUUUAAAUCCAUAUGCUGGCUUAUUUAAGUGACUGAUUUCCAAUUGUGGUUUCCUCCAUCCUAGUUCUUCCUUUUUUUUUUUUUUUUUUAAUUUAGAGAAACCCUUUCAGUAUUUCCUUUAGAAUGGAUUUAGGAUUGCUAUACUCUUUUAGCUUUUGUUUGUUGGAGAAAUUCUUUAUUUCCCCUUCUGUUUUAAAUAAUAUUCUUGCUGGAUAGAGUAUUCUAGGUUGCAGAUUUUUUUCCUUCAGUGCUUUAAAUAUAUCUUGCCACUCCCUUCUGGCCUGUAGUGUUUCUGUAGAGAAAUCCGGUGAUAGCCUUAUUGGGGUUCUCUUAUAAUUAAUGCUUUGCUUUUCUCUUGCUGCCUUUAGAAUCCUCUCUUUAUUUUUGUCAUUUUUAUUAUAAUAUGUCUUCUUGUGGGCUUGUUUUGGACCCUCUGUGCUUCCUGUAUCUUGAUAUCAGUAUGCUUUAGAUUUGGAAAGUUUUCAGCCAUAAUUUGUUCAAAUAUAUUUUCAAUCCCCUUUCGUCUUCUUUUCCUUCUGGAAUUCCUCUUAUACGUAGAUUGGCCCACUGUAUAUUAUCCCAUAGGUGUCUUAUAUUGCUUUCAUGUUUUUUUCAUUUGGUUUUCUGUCUGCUCUGCUGAUUGGGUGAUUUCCAUUAUUGUAUCUUCCAUGUUACUAAUUCAUUCCUCUGCAUUUCAUUCUGGUCUUUAUUACCUUUAGCUCAUUUUGUAUCUCUGCAAAUGAAUUUUCUAGUUUUUCUUGUUUCCUCCUUAUAUUUGGGGAAGCCAAACUAUAGUCUUGUAAGGCUACUUCUAUGCAAGAAUACCCCUUUGUAUUUUUUGGGGGGGUUACUGUUUAUUUUUGGUGUGGGAGUUUGAAUCUUUGCUGUCUUUUCUUAGGUAUGAGCAGGAUGUUCAAUGUGUUUUCAGGGAGAUGGAGGCAAUGGGUAGGGCCAGCAGUCAGUGCCUGGUCUUUGGGCUCUCAACAGAAGCAAAGAUCAGCAGGAAGGUGGCACAGGCUGCUCCUAGUUGCAGAACCCUUGGAAGUGGUAAUGAGCUCUAGGAGGAUCUUCAAGGUGACCAGAUCUUUGGUAGUAGUAGCAGCAGGGUACAUGAGUUCCCAGGAAGGGUGAGUGCAACAACAGCUUGUGUUUGAUUGCAGUGCCCUCCUCUGUGGUGAUUGGAACUGCAAGUGGUGCCUGUUCAGGGACCCCUAGUGGAAAUGGGACAUGACCAUCUCUAGCAUCAGUGAUAACUGCAGUGGUUUGCCUCCACCACCUAUAGACCAUGCAUGAAGCUAUCCAUCUUACUUAGCCCAUAUAGGAGUUGCUGCACAGGCUGUUCCUAGUUGCAGGGUCCUGGGAAGUGACAGAGAUCUGGCAUAUGAGUACUGCCUGGAACAUUCAGCACUGGCAGCAGCAGGGCCCAUGUAUUCCCAAGGGUGCAAGAGCACCAACAGGUGGCAUUUGGUCACAGUGCCCUCCCCUGUGAUGACUUUGAGAUGAUUGGGCCUGCAAAUGGUGCCUGUUCACUGAUCCCUAGUGGUGUCAGGUCACUGCCACCUCUGGAGCCAGAGAUAACUGUGGUGAUUUGCCCCCACCAUCUGAAAAUCAUGCUGCUUAGCCCCCACAGGAUGUGCUGCACAAGGCACUCUUAGUUGUAGGUGUCUGGGAAGGGACAGUGAUCAAGAAUCUGGGCACUGCCCAGAAUGUCUGGCAGUGGCAGCUGCAGGGCAGGUGUGCUCUCAGGGGAGCUAGAGCAAUAUCAGGUGAUAUUCAGUCAUAAUGUCCUUCUCUGUGAUGCCCUCUGAAGUGGUUAGGGCUGCAAGUGAUUUUUGUUCAGGUAUCCCCAGGGGCCGUGGGCCAUGCCCACCUCUGGAAUCAGGGAUAACUUCAGUGGUUUGCUUCUGCCACCUGCAGGUCCAGUCCACCAUAGGCUAGCAAGCAGCUUCCUGCUGGUCCACGGCAGGCUAGCAAGUGGCUUCUUGCCUUGGGGCGGGGGGGCGCUGCAAUGGAGACAUCCAGUCCAUGGUGGGCUGGCGAGCGGCUUCCCAUGACUGAAGAGGCCCAGUCCGGGAAAGGCCAGAAAGUGACUUCCAGCCAUGGGGAUGGUGGGGGGGGGGGCUGUGCCUGGGAUGCUCCAUCUUCUGCAGCUGGUGGACAUGUGCACACGCUGGGGAGCAAGGAAUUUCCUAUGGUGGCCUUUCCCAACUCUUCUCAUCCUCACCAACAAUGGAGCCUUGCCUCUCCUGUGGGUCCUGACCUUCUCCUGGGUUCUCUCUGUCAUGGCUUGCUGCAUUUCCUGGCCCUUACCAUACGGCUCCCUUACCUGUGGUGCACUGUUCCUUAGCCCCUUAGGCUGUCUCCACACCAUCAACCCCAGCCCGCUCCUGGGGACUGAUCUCCAGAGCCUAAGUCUCAGCGCCCAGCCCCCACCCAAGCAUCUCAGGCCAUGGUGUCUGUGCCAGUGGUUCGGAUGAUCUGUGCGUCUCUCACUCUGCUUUUCUGUUCUCAGACCUGCUGCUAUGCUUUUCUCGGCAUCUUUGAGGUCCCUCCCACUCAGCAGAUCUUUCUGUCAGUUAAGUGGCUUCCCAGGGUGUGGAUUCCUUUUCUCCUUCACAGCUGCCUCUCGGGAAUGCUAGUCCGGUCCUGAUUCCUUUUCUCUCUCUUUUUUUCUUUUGAUCUAGUUAUGUCAAGAGUUUCUUGCCAUUUUUGGAGUUUGAUUUCUUCUGCCAUCAUUCAAUUGAUGUUCUGUGCAAGUUGUUUUACAUGUAGGUGUGUUUUUUUGAUGUGUUUGUGGGAGAGGGUGAGCUACAUCUCUUACUCUUCCACCAUCUUGCCUCUCCCCCUUGAGGGUUUUAAAAUCAUGGAAAUUUAUGAAGUUCCAUGGACUCAUAUUCAAAGAAAUAAAGCUAAAUUAUUAUGUAUUUUUAUUUUAAUUAGGAAAAGACAUUCAAAUUUUCGAUUUAAUUUUGUGCAUCUUAAAAAUCAAUGGGGUAUUAAAUUGUUUAUAUAAAUUUUCAUGUUCCAUUGUUGUUAAAUUCCCAAUGUAUUGGUAAUAUUCCUUAAGUAUAUGCAGAGUGCAUUCAAUCCACAAAAGUCUUUCUACUUUUAUUGUUUGAAAUCAACAUUUUUCAUAAAAUAAUUAAGGUAUGACUGGUCCUUUUAUCUAACUCAGUUCCCCUUUGGAUCAUAUUGUAGCAACAGUUUAUGUUUCAUGUUUAGGUAUGUUUAUAUUCUUAUCUCAGAAUGUAGGGAAUUAUACACUAUCAAGUUUUAGAAUUAUCAGUUUGAGUUGAGGAGAAAAUCCUUGUACCAAACAGCAGUAAUGAUCACCUGCUGAUAUCUCUUUUCUAUCAAAAGGAAUGAUCUUGGCCAAGUCCUUUAACCUCUCAAAAAUAGUUUUCAUAAUUGUAAAAGUGAGGGACUCAAUGGUCUCAAAUUCUAAAACUUCCUAUGUUCUUUGCAAAUAAAAUUUAAUUACAGAAUAAAAUUUAUAGACUUGUACCAAUGCAUUACCUUGUACAACUGCUUUAAUUAUUAUAAGCUUAUCUAGAGAAUUUAUUAUCUAAUAAAGUUUUUAAUUUCCCUAAUGUAAAAAAACCCCAAACAAAAAGAUGAUCAAAGGAAAAUAUUUUAAUUGCUGUAUUCUGCAUGUGUGCAAGUAAUACACAUAAGUUUAAUACUGUCUGAAAACAAUUUGGUUUUGUAUGUUUCUGUUAUAUUACGUCUCUAAAAUACUAGCCUAUUGAUGUGUCGCAUUUAGCCCAAAUUCUUUAUAAUACUAUUUAAAAUGUGAAUAUAUGGUUUUUGAAUAUGAUUUUAUAUAGCAUAGAUUUUUUUUUAGUAGCUUAUGAUAUUUAUCACAAUCACAAUGUAUGUUUUGAAACCAGUAGUAAUAUACUAUGGCUUACCAAUUCUGCCAAUAUAAUGUUCUAAAAGUUGAUGUACAUUUGUAGAUAACACUUUCAGUCAAACCUGUUUUUUUAUUCAUAUAAAAAUUAGGUACACUUAGUAUGAAAAAACCACCUUUUGAAUGUUCGGAAUUAUUUCAAAAUAUGGAAUUACUUUUGCCUUUGAAUGUGGAAUGGCAACUUAAUUAUGGAAGAAUUUGAUUUCUUUUUAUAAUAUUUCUUUUGAUUAGGGAUAUGGAUAUUUCUAUUAAUGUUUAAUAAGGCAUAAAUUGCUCAAUACUUGAAAAUUAGUAUUUCUCAUUAAAAGCCCACUCUGUGUUGCUCACCUCAUUAACUGAGAAAUUAGAAAUUAAGCUAUUUGUAUUAUAAUGGUGAAGAGUGCAGGUGGAUGAAUUGUCAGAAAGGUGUCUUGUUCUACUUAGUUUACCCUCAACCAUAUUCCAGGGAAUAUUUCAAUAGAUAAUCAUUCUAAUGUUCCUUUCAAUUUGUCUGAAUUGAGUAAUUUUAAAAGAUAUUUCCCAGAAUAAUCAGGCCAAUAAAGUGCUUAUUUAAUUAGAGCAGUACUAAUGGCUACCAUUUAUUGAAUGCCUAAUAUGUAUCUGAAACCACAUUUGAAUCCUCAUAGUUAAAAUCCAGAGCAACAAUGCAUAUUAAUUGAAUAUUAAACAACCUUUCAAAUUAGAAAAAGAAAA